UUUUAAAGUAUGAAAGGCUACAAUAAUCUUUUCUUUCAAUUGCUCGCAACUUGCGAUUUCUUCAGAAUAGACAAUUGAUUUAAUAUGGCUCCAUAAAUAAAAUUCAAAGUCGAUUUUCUCGAAAACAAAGCCGCAAACGAAAAAUUGUUAUUCUAUGUUUUCGACUUCUUUUUUCGCGUAGAAUCACCCCCUUUCCGCUUGUACCACCAGUUACCAACCACCCUGUAUUAUUUUAUCGAAUUACGUAUGAUCCACUUUGUUCUAUCAAAAUAAAAAUCACAACGUUCGACAGAUUAG
rnacentral:misc_RNA from 1 species